AAUUCUCCAUUAAAAAUUACUUGCAACAGUAAACAAAAUCGUUUUCCUCCUCGCCGACGUUCGUAUUUCUUUGGUGACGCGGCAAUAAUCGUUGUACUAGUGCAGGGUCAUCUACCUCACCCACCAUAUCGCCGUGCAAGGGCGCCUUCGGUUUGCUUCCAGUGAAGGCCGUAGCGAAAAAUGUUUAAACAAAUAUAUAAACUUCUGACUAGGUAGUCAACUCGGAAAUCUAUCCAGAAAGAUUUUAAUUAUAUGCCAUUCUUUCAAUUAACUAAUUGAGGUUCGACGGGGAACUCGAUAUUCCGCCAUCGGACCACUCACACUAGACAACACAAACUAGUGUCUGAGGGCCGGAUCGCAGUGGAUAGGUCCGGAGGUUUGGAUUUAGCCGCCUUGUCCGUCUUUUCGUUAUCCUCCAUACCUAUCUGUCCGGGUACCUAGACGAAAAUCACCGUUUGCAAGCUAUGGAGGCUGAUUAAAACAAAUACGUAUUAAUAAAUGAGGAAAGACAGAAUGGAAAAAAGUACCAUUUCAUGGUCGAUUGGUCUGCGGUCGGUUGAUGACUUGGAUCUACGAGGAAGGUGCCGAAAUCAAGCUUGAAGAAACAAACGGGACUCAUGAAACAAUGUAAAAAAAAAGUUUUAUUACAAAAAUUAAUAAAAAGUAUUAACAAUAAAACGUC